rnacentral:lncRNA from 1 species
GUUGGGGUGACAUAUUGUUAUUGUUCGUUUCUUUUUUUCUUAUUAUUAUGUCACCCGAUCGACAAUGUCGGGUGACAUAUUGCUUUUCCUCUGUUUCUUUACUAUUAUUAUUCUUAUUCUUCCAAUGAUUUUGUCCGGCAGUUUUCUUGGAGACAAUAGAACCAAUCUUAAUGAUAGUUGACUAUAAUGAGGAACACAAAAUUCCGGGUUGCAGUAGGUCAUAAGACCAUUAAAAAUGGCUGCCGUUACCAUGGAAACGGAACAAAUGUGAAAAAUUCAAUUUUUGGGAUUUGGUGAAUAAUUUGGAGAUGCUUAAACUCAGAAUCAUUAUAUUUUGAUACAAUGUAGGUGCCGGCCAUAUACUGGUUUUGGAUGAUUUUGGCAAUCAUUGGAACUACUAUGUUGUCAUGGAAACUACACCAAA